UAGUCCACGCCGUAAACGAUGAAUACUAGGUGUGGGGGUUGUCAUGACCUCCGUGCCGCCGCUAACGCAUUAAGUAUUCCGCCUGGGGAGUACGGUCGCAAGAUUAAAACUCAAAGGAAUUGACGGGGGCCCGCACAAGCAGCGGAGCAUGUGGUUUAAUUCGAAGCAACGCGAAGAACCUUACCUAGACUUGACAUCUCCUGAAUUACUCUUAAUCGAGGAAGUCUCUUCGGGGACAGGAAGACAGGUGGUGCAUGGUUGUCGUCAGCUCGUGUCGUGAGAUGUUGGGUUAAGUCCCGCAACGAGCGCAACCCUUAUUGUUAGUUGCUACCAUUUAGUUGAGCACUCUAGCGAGACUGCCCGGGUUAACCGGGAGGAAGGUGGGGAUGACGUCAAAUCAUCAUGCCCCUUAUGUCUAGGGCUACACACGUGCUACAAUGGCUGGUACAGAGAGAUGCGAUACCGUGAGGUGGAGCCAAACUUCAAAACCAGUCUCAGUUCGGAUUGUAGGCUGAAACUCGCCUACAUGAAGCUGGAGUUGCUAGUAAUCGCGAUCAGAUGUCGCGGUGAAUACGUUCCCGGGCCUUGUACACACCGCCCGUCACACCAUGAGAGUUGGCAAUACCCAAAGUUCGUGAGCUAACGCGUAAGCGGGGCAGCGACCUAAGGUAGGGUCAGCGAUUGGGGUGAAGUCGUAACAAGGUAGCCGUAGGAGAACC
rnacentral:rRNA from 1 species